rnacentral:rRNA from 1 species
UACGUAGGGUGCAAGCGUUGUCCGGAAUUAUUGGGCGUAAAGAGCUCGUUAGGCGGUCUGUCGCGUCGAUCGUGAAAACUUGGGGCUUAACCCUGAGCUUGCGGUCGAUACGGGCAUGACUGGAGUUCGGCAGGGGAGACUGGAAUUCCUGGUGUAGCGGUGAAAUGCGCAGAUAUCAGGAGGAACACCGGUGGCGAAGGCGGGUCUCUGGGCCGAUACUGACGCUGAGGAGCGAAAGCGUGGGGAGCGAACAGG